GAUGAACGCUGGCGGCGUGCCUAAUACAUGCAAGUCGAGCGAACGGAUGAGAAGCUUGCUUCUCUGAUGUUAGCGGCGGACGGGUGAGUAACACGUGGAUAACCUACCUAUAAGACUGGGAUAACUUCGGGAAACCGGAGCUAAUACCGGAUAAUAUUUUGAACCGCGUGGUUCAAAAGUGAAAGACGGUCUUGCUGUCACUUAUAGAUGGAUCCGCGCUGCAUUAGCUAGUUGGUAAGGUAACGGCUUACCAAGGCAACGAUGCAUAGCCGACCUGAGAGGGUGAUCGGCCACACUGGAACUGAGACACGGUCCAGACUCCUACGGGAGGCAGCAGUAGGGAAUCUUCCGCAAUGGGCGAAAGCCUGACGGAGCAACGCCGCGUGAGUGAUGAAGGUCUUCGGAUCGUAAAACUCUGUUAUUAGGGAAGAACAUAUGUGUAAGUAACUGUGCACAUCUUGACGGUACCUAAUCAGAAAGCCACGGCUAACUACGUG
rnacentral:rRNA from 1 species